AUCGACGUGAAGAGGAUCCAAGAAAUAAUCGAUUCCAUGGAGGCUGCCGAGGAGGCACCAGCGGCAGAGGCUGAGUCGAGCUCGAUGCAGGAGGAGGACAAGGGCACGGACGCCGCGCCCAUGGACAUCUAGGCCCAAGAUACAUCUUAUCUCCUCCCUUACACCGUGUCUGAGUUUCCAAAAGACUACUGUUUUAGAAAGCUGUGACUGUUGUGUACCCUUUCUUCAGUACUACAACUUUGCGACGGUCUCUUUGAUCAACAUCGAUUGUGUUUUGGACCGAUUAUUUACAUGUGAUGCGGACAG
rnacentral:sRNA from 1 species